GGGGAUUUAGCUCAGUGGUAGAGCGCUUGCCUAGCAAGUGCAAGGCCCUGGGUUCAGUUCCCAGCUCCA
rnacentral:tRNA from 1 species